rnacentral:rRNA from 1 species
CCUACGGGAGGCAGCAGUGAGGAAUAUUGGUCAAUGGACGAGAGUCUGAACCAGCCAAGUAGCGUGAAGGAUGACUGCCCUAUGGGUUGUAAACUUCUUUUAUAUGGGAAUAAAAUGUUCCACGUGUGGGAUUUUGUAUGUACCAUAUGAAUAAGGAUCGGCUAAUUCCGUGCCAGCAGCCGCGGUAAUACGGAGGAUCCGAGCGUUAUCCGGAUUUAUUGGGUUUAAAGGGAGCGUAGGGUGAUUGUUAAGGGUGUUGUGAAAGUUCGCGGCUCAACCGUGGAAUUGCAGUUGAAACUGGCAGUCUUGAGUGCAGUAGAGGUGUGCGGAAUUCGUGGUGUAGCGAUGAAAUGCUUAGAUAUCACGAAGAACUCCGAUUGCGAAGGCAGCACACGGGACUGCAACUGACACUGAAGCUCGAAAGUGUGGGUAUCAAACAGGAUUAGAUACCCCAGUAGUC